GGAAUCUUCCGCAAUGGGCGAAAGCCUGACGGAGCAACGCCGCGUGAGUGAUGAAGGUCUUCGGAUCGUAAAACUCUGUUAUUAGGGAAGAACAGAUGUGUAAGUAACUAUGCACGUCUUGACGGUACCUAAUCAGAAAGCCACGGCUAACUACGUGCCAGCAGCCGCGGUAAUACGUAGGUGGCAAGCGUUAUCCGGAAUUAUUGGGCGUAAAGCGCGCGUAGGCGGUUUUUUAAGUCUGAUGUGAAAGCCCACGGCUCAACCGUGGAGGGUCAUUGGAAACUGGAAAACUUGAGUGCAGAAGAGGAAAGUGGAAUUCCAUGUGUAGCGGUGAAAUGCGCAGAGAUAUGGAGGAACACCAGUGGCGAAGGCGACUUUCUGGUCUGUAACUGACGCUGAUGUGCGAAAGCGUGGGGAUCAAACAGGAUUAGAUACCCUGGUAGUCCACGCCGUAAACGAUGAGUGCUAAGUGUUAGGGGGUUUCCGCCCCUUAGUGCUGCAGCUAACGCAUUAAGCACUCCGCCUGGGGAGUACGACCGCAAGGUUGAAACUCAAAGGAAUUGACGG
rnacentral:rRNA from 1 species